AGUUGAUCAUGGCUCGAGGACGAACGCUGGCGGCGUGCCUAACACAUGCAAGUCGAGCGAGGAGAUUCCUCGGGAUGAUCCUAGCGGCGGACGGGUGAGUAACACGUGGGCAACCUGCCUCAUAGAGAGGAAUAGCCUUCCGAAAGGGAGAUUAAUACCUCAUAACAUUGCAGUUUCGCAUGGAACAGCAAUUAAAGGAGUAAUCCGCUAUGAGAUGGGCCCGCGGCGCAUUAGCUAGUUGGUGAGGUAACGGCUCACCAAGGCGACGAUGCGUAGCCGACCUGAGAGGGUGAUCGGCCACAUUGGGACUGAGACACGGCCCAGACUCCUACGGGAGGCAGCAGUGGGGAAUAUUGCACAAUGGGGGAAACCCUGAUUGCAGCAACGCCGCGUGAGUGAUGACGGCCUUCGGGUUGUAAAGCUCUGUCUUCAGGGACGAUAAUGACGGUACCCGAGGAGGAAGCCACGGCUAACUACGUGCCAGCCGCCGC
rnacentral:rRNA from 1 species